rnacentral:rRNA from 1 species
UACGUAGGUGGCAAGCGUUGUCCGGAAUUAUUGGGCGUAAAGCGCGCGCAGGCGGCUUCUUAAGUCUGAUGUGAAAUCUCGGGGCUCAACCCCGAGCGGCCAUUGGAAACUGGGAAGCUUGAGUACAGAAGAGGAGAGUGGAAUUCCACGUGUAGCGGUGAAAUGCGUAGAUAUGUGGAGGAACACCAGUGGCGAAGGCGACUCUCUGGUCUGUAACUGACGCUGAGGCGCGAAAGCGUGGGGAGCAAACAGGAUAGAAACC